GCCUGUGAAAUGAACCUCAGUUCAUCCCUGAUCGCUCCCUACACGAACCCCAACCAACCCCCAUGAAGACGAACAGGAACUAUUUAAAGGAGGUACAGCUCCUUUAAAACAGAAUACAACCUCCUACAGCGGAUAAUCCCUCCCCAAACACAACUGUUGGCCUUCAAGCAGCCACCAACAAAGAGUGCGUCAAAGCUCACCAUCAAAAAAUACCAUAACUGCGCGAAUCCCUCCCCAUUAACAGGCCAACCUAUUCCUAUAGGAGGAUUAAUGCUGAAAUAAGUAACCUAGGGGCCCCCCCCUCUCAAGCGCGAACUUACAUCACACAUUAUUAUCCACAACAUGAUACCUACACCCCCCCCCACAAGCACACCCUAUCCUUAAACCACUGUUACACCAACCCAGGAGCGCAACAAUAGAAAGAUUUAAACCUGUAGAAGGAAUUAGGCAAACUCAAGGCCCGACUGUUUACCAAAAACAUAGCCUUCAGCACACCAAGUAUUGAAGGUGAUGCCUGCCCAGUGACACCUCACGUUUAACGGCCGCGGUAUCCUA
rnacentral:rRNA from 1 species